rnacentral:rRNA from 1 species
GAGUUUGAUCAUGGCUCAGAUUGAACGCUGGCGGCAUGCCUUACACAUGCAAGUCGAACGGCAGCACGGGAGCUUGCUCCUGGUUGGCGAGUGGCGAACGGGUGAGUAAUGCAUCGGAACGUAUCCUGGAGUGGGGGAUAACGUAGCGUAAAGUUACGCUAAUACCGCAUAUUCUGUGAGCAGGGAAGCGGGGGACCUUCGGGCCUCGACGCUCUUGGAGCGGCCGAUGUCGGAUUAGCUAGUUGGUGAGGUAAAGGCUCACCAAGGCGACGAUCCGUAGCAGGUCUGAGAGGAUGAUCUGCCACACUGGAACUGAGACACGGUCCAGACUCCUACGGGAGGCAGCAGUGGGGAAUUUUGGACAAUGGGGGCAACCCUGAUCCAGCCAUGCCGCGUGAGUGAAGAAGGCC